rnacentral:lncRNA from 1 species
AAUUGGUUUUCAAAAUGAUUUUGUAAAAAUAUUUACUAAUAACCAAAGUGCUAUACAUUUGAGUAGAAAUCCAGUAUAUCAUGAUAGAACAAAGCAUGUUGACAUAAAAUUCCACUUCGUGAGGAACAUGGUUGAAAAAGGUAUGAUUUCUUUAGUCAAAAUCCCUACUGAAUAUAAUCCCUCUGAUGUAGGUACUAAGAUACUUCCUUUAAACAAGUUCAACAAUUGCUUAAUGAUUCUGAAUAUCACAUAAGAUUGACAGUUAGUGAUAAACUAGAAUCUUAAGCCAUGUAUAGAAUUCAAACUAAUUCCAAUUUUUGUUUUUACAGGUUAUGAGAGCAAAUGAAGCUAGUGCGAUCUCUAGAUCCAUUAAUUAAACAAGAAAUAGCUCACCAAGGUGGAGUUUGUUAUUAUUUGGGCUGCCUCGCUAUUUCUAAAG